CCUACGGGAGGCAGCAGUGGGGAAUCUUGCGCAAUGGGCGAAAGCCUGACGCAGCAACGCCGCGUGCGGGAAGAAGGCUUUCGGGCUGUAAACCGCUUUCAGCAGGAACGAAAAUGACGGUACCUGCAGAAGAAGGAGCGGCCAACUAUGUGCCAGCAGCCGCGGUGAUACAUAGGCUUCAAGCGUUGUCCGGAUUUAUUGGGCGUAAAGAGUUCGUAGGCGGUCGAGUAAGUCGGGUGUGAAAAUUCUGGGCUCAACCCAGAGACGCCACCCGAUACUGCUUGACUUGAGUUCGAUAGGGGAGUGGGGAAUUCCUAGUGUAGCGGUGAAAUGCGCAGAUAUUAGGAGGAACACCGGUGGCGAAGGCGCCACUCUGGAUCGAUACUGACGCUGAGGAACGAAAGCAUGGGUAGCAAACAGGAUUAGAUACCCUGGUAGUCCAUGCCGUAAACGGUAGGCACUAGGUGUGGGAUUCUAUUAACGAAUUCCGCGCCGUCGCUAACGCAUUAAGUGCCCCGCCUGGGGAUACGGUCGCAAGACUAAAACUUAAAUGAAUUGACGG
rnacentral:rRNA from 1 species